rnacentral:rRNA from 1 species
UACGUAGGGUCCGAGCGUUGUCCGGAAUUAUUGGGCGUAAAGAGCUCGUAGGCGGUCUGUCACGUCGGCUGUGAAAACCCGGGGCUCAACCCCGGGCCUGCAGUCGAUACGGGCAGACUAGAGUUCGGUAGGGGAGACUGGAAUUUACGGUGUAGCGGUGAAAUGCGUAGAUAUCGUAAGGAAGACCAGUGGCGAAGGCGGGUCUCUGGACAGUUCCUGACGCUGAGGCACGAAGGUCAGGGGAGCAAACGGG